rnacentral:rRNA from 1 species
GGAGUCUAGCAUGUGCGCGAGUCUUUGGGACACGUUGCUAUGCCUAAAGGCAAAAUGAAAGUGAAGGUCCGCCUUGCGCGGACCGAGGGAGGAUGGGUGACCGGUCUCGGCCGCCGCCCCGCACUCCCGGGGCGUCUCGUUCUCAUCACGAGAUGAGGCGCACCAAGAGCGUACACGCUGGUACCCGAAAGAUGGUGAACUAUGCCUGGUCAGGACGAAGUCAGGGGAAACCCUGAUGGAGGUCCGUAGCGAUUCUGACGUGCAAAUCGAUCGUCUGAACUGGGUAUAGGGGCGAAAGACUAAUCGAACCAUCUAGUAGCUGGUUCCCUCCGAAGUUUCCCUCAGGAUAGCUGGUGCUCGUUGCGUACGAGUUUCAUCCGGUAAAGCGAAUGAUUAGAGGCAUUGGGGUCGAAACGGCCUCAACCUAUUCUCAAACUUUAAAUGGGUGAGAUCUCCGGCUUGCUUAAACGAGUGAAGCCGCGAGACUCGAAUCAGAGUGCCAAGUGGGCCAUUUUUGGUAAGCAGAACUGGCGCUGUGGGAUGAACCAAACGCAGAGUUAAAGCGCCAAAAUUAACGCUUAUGGGAUACCAUGAAAGGCGUUGGUAACUUAAGACAUCAGGACGGUGGCCAUGGAAGUC